rnacentral:rRNA from 1 species
AUGAACGCUGGCGGCGUGCUUAACACAUGCAAGUCGAACGAUUAAAGCUCACUUCGGUGAGUGCAUAGAAUGGCGAACGGGUGAGUAACACGUGGGAAACCUGCCCCUUUCUUCGGGAUAACUUCGGGAAACCGUUGCUAAUACCGGAUACUCCGGGAUGGUCGCAUGGCCGACCCGGGAAAGCUUUAUGUGGAAAGGGAUGGUCCCGCGGCCCAUUAGCUUGUUGGUGGGGUAAUGGCCUACCAAGGCAAUGAUGGGUAGCCG